rnacentral:rRNA from 1 species
UACGUAGGGUGCAAGCGUUAAUCGGAAUUACUGGGCGUAAAGCGUGCGCAGGCGGUUUGUAAGUCUGUCGUGAAAUCCCCGGGCUCAACCUGGGAAUUGCGUUGGAGACUGCAAGGCUAGAAUCUGGCAGAGGGGGGUAGAAUUCCACGUGUAGCAGUGAAAUGCGUAGAGAUGUGGAGGAACACCGAUGGCGAAGGCAGCCCCCUGGGUCAAGAUUGGACGCUCAUGCACGAAAGCGU